rnacentral:rRNA from 1 species
UACGUAGGGUGCAAGCGUUGUCCGGAAUUAUUGGGCGUAAAGAGCUCGUAGGCGGUCUGUCGCGUCUGCUGUGAAAACUCAGGGCUUAACCCUGAGCUUGCAGUGGGUACGGGCAGACUAGAGUGCGGUAGGGGAGACUGGAAUUCCUGGUGUAGCGGUGAAAUGCGCAGAUAUCUGGAGGAACACCGGUGGCGAAGGCGGCAUCCUGGACCGGCAUUGACGCUGAGGCGCGAAAGCCAGGGGAGCAAACGGG